AAGAAAACAAAGGAUGUGCUGGCUUCAUUGCAUGUGCACUCCUAACCUCAUAUCCAUCCACCUGUGCACAUUCUGUAGGCAAAAAGCAAGAAAGGGCUUCAUUGUUCCCUUGCUCAUUGUCUAUGAUUUUAACAUACACCAAAGUACAAGUUGAAGAAUGUAAUAAAAGAAAAUUUUAAA
rnacentral:misc_RNA from 1 species